GACGAACGCUGGCGGCGUGCUUAACACAUGCAAGUCGAACGAUGAAAGCGGAGCUUGCUCCGCUGGAUUAGUGGCGAACGGGUGAGUAACACGUGGGCAACCUGCCCCAGACUCUGGGAUAACUCCUCGAAAGAGGUGCUAAUACCGGAUACGAACUCCUUGGGCAUCCUUGGAGCUGGAAAGUUUUUCGGUCUGGGAUGGGCCCGCGGCCUAUCAGCGUGUUGGUGGGGUAGUGGCCCACCAAGGCGACGACGGGUAGCCGGCCUGAGAGGGCGACCGGCCACACUGGGACUGAGACACGGCCCAGACUCCUACGGGAGGCAGCAGUGGGGAAUAUUGCGCAAGGGGCGAAAGCCUGACGCAGCGACGCCGCGUGAGGGAUGACGGCCUUCGGGUUGUAACCCUUUUUCAGCAGGGAAGAAGCGAAAGUGACGGUACCUGCAGAAGAAGCACCGGCUAACUACGUGCCAGCAGCCGCCGUAA
rnacentral:rRNA from 1 species